UUGACACUGGGUCAUGGGUUGGGCUUAGUGGCCUCUUUUAUUUGUGCACUUUGACAUCUUUCGCAGCUAACAGCCGUGCAUGAUCUCCCAGAGUCCGUCUGAUAAACUGGUCACGCUCUAAUUAAACUUUCGGUAUGGUGCUAAUCUGCGCAGCGAUUUGCCGGUUGAUUUCGGCUACUCGGAUAACAUAGUGAUUUGCCCAACUGGAAAUGGGCCCGUUCCUGAAAAACAGCUGCUAGUCUACUGUAGAUUCAUCAUCAUGCCUUGCCUCGGACAUCGCACACUAGUUUAUUUCCACAUGAUUAACAGCUGCUACUCCACUAUUACUAGGCUCUCCGCAGCGGCG
rnacentral:lncRNA from 1 species